GGAAAAUGGCCCUGAGGAUGGCCUCCCGGAGGAGGUAAGACCUGAAGAUUAAGAUCAGCCAUGCAAACAGAUAGGAGGAAAUGUUCCCAAGAAAAGAAGUAGCAGAUGAAUCAAUAAAAUAUGAAGACAAAAGUGCUCCAUGUUCUGGCCAAGGAUGAAUGUUCACCAACAGAUAUUCCUGAUUGUAAAGGGAAGCAUUUCAUCUCAAGACCCAGAUCCCAGAGACAAUUAUUGAUGAAUCCUGCAAUACCAUCAAGAAUAAAACACUCUUCUCCCA